rnacentral:rRNA from 1 species
UACGUAGGGUGCAAGCGUUGUCCGGAAUUAUUGGGCGUAAAGAGCUCGUAGGCGGUCUGUCGCGUCGGCUGUGAAAACCCGGGGCUCAACCCCGGGCCUGCAGUGGGUACGGGCAGACUAGAGUGCGGUAGGGGAGACUGGAAUUCCUGGUGUAGCGGUGAAAUGCGCAGAUAUCAGGAGGAACACCGAUGGCGAAGGCAGGUCUCUGGGCCACUACUGACGCUGAGGAGCGAAAGCAUGGGGAGCGAACAGG